AUGAAAAUUGAGACCAAUGGUGGCGUGAGCCAUAUACAAUGAGUAAAACAUGUCUGGACUUUGAUGUCCAA
ensembl:snoRNA